rnacentral:rRNA from 1 species
UACGUAGGGUGCGAGCGUUGUCCGGAAUUAUUGGGCGUAAAGAGCUUGUAGGCGGUUUUGUCGCGUCUGCUGUGAAAAUCCGGGGCUCAACUCCGGACUUGCAGUGGGUACGGGCAGGCUAGAGUGUGGUAGGGGAGACUGGAAUUCCUGGUGUAGCGGUGGAAUGCGCAGAUAUCAGGAGGAACACCGAGUGGCGAAGGCAGGUCUCUGGGCCACUACUGACGCUGAGAAGCGAAAGCAUGGGGAGCGAACAGG